AUUGAACGCUGGCGGCAUGCUUUACACAUGCAAGUCGGACGGCAGCACAGAGAAGCUUGCUUCUUGGGUGGCGAGUGGCGAACGGGUGAGUAAUAUAUCGGAACGUACCGAGUAAUGGGGGAUAACUAAUCGAAAGAUUAGCUAAUACCGCAUAUUCUCUGAGGAGGAAAGCAGGGGACCUUCGGGCCUUGCGUUAUUCGAGCGUCCGAUAUCUGAUUAGCUAGUUGGUGGGGUAAAGGCCUACCAAGGCGACGAUCAGUAGCGGGUCUGAGAGGAUGAUCCGCCACACUGGAACUGAGACACGGCCCAGACUCCUACGGGAGGCAGCAGUGGGGAAUUUUGGACAAUGGGCGAAAGCCUGAUCCAGCCAUGCCGCGUGUCUGAAGAAGGCCUUCGGGUUGUAAAGGACUUUUGUCAGGGAAGAAAAGGCUGUUGCUAAUACCGACAGCUGAUGACGGUACCUAAAGAAUAAGCACCGGCUAACUACGUG
rnacentral:rRNA from 1 species